CGGUGCAAUGAGACUAGCCUCGUG
rnacentral:piRNA from 1 species